AUUGAACGCUGGCGGCAUGCGUAACACAUGCAAGUCGAACGGUGUUUGGUGCUUGCACCAGGACAUAGUGGCGGACGGGUGAGUAAUGCGUAGGAAUCUGUCUUAGAGAGGGGGACAACCCGAGGAAAACUUGGGCUAAAACCGCAUAUUCUCGAGAGAGGAAAGCAGGGGACCGGAAACGGGCCUUGUGCUCUAAGGUGAGCCUACGUCGGAUUAGCUAGUUGGUAGGGUAAAAGCCUACCAAGGCGAUGAUCUGUAGCUGGUCUGAGAGGACGGACAGCCACACUGGGACUGAGACACGGCCCAGACUCCUACGGGAGGCAGCAGUGGGGAAUAUUGGACAAUGGGGGAACCCUGAUCCAGCGAUGCCGCGUGUGUGAAGAAGGCCUGCGGGUUGUAAAGCACUUUCAGUGGGAAAGAGAAGCGUCUUGUGAAUAAUGGGACGUGGAGACGUUACUCACAGAAGAAGCACCGGCUAAACUCUGUGCCAGCAGCCGCGGUAAUC
rnacentral:rRNA from 1 species